rnacentral:rRNA from 1 species
GACGAACGCUGGCGGCGUGCUUAACACAUGCAAGUCGAACGGAAAGGCCCUGCUUUUGUGGGGUGCUCGAGUGGCAACGGGUGAGUAACACGUGAGUAACCUGCCCUUGGCUUUGGGAUAACUUCAGGAAACUGGGGCUAAUACCGGAUAGGAGCUCCUGCUGCAUGGUGGGGGUUGGAAAGUUUCGGCGGUUGGGGAUGGACUCGCGGCUUAUCAGCUUGUUGGUGGGGUAGUGGCUUACCAAGGCUUUGACGGGUAGCCGGCCUGAGAGGGUGACCGGCCACAUUGGGACUGAGAUACGGCCCAGACUCCUACGGGAGGCAGCAGUGGGGAAUAUUGCACAAUGGGCGGAAGCCUGAUGCAGCAACGCCGCGUGCGGGAUGACGGCCUUCGGGUUGUAAACCGCUUUCGCCUGUGACGAAGCGUGAGUGACGGUAAUGGGUAAAGAAGCACCGGCUAACUACGUG